UGCUAAUACCGGAUAACAAUAGAUGAUGCCUAUCAACUGUUUAAAAGAAUGGUUCUGCUAUCACUCUUGGAUGGACCUGCGGUGCAUUAGCUAGUUGGUAGGGUAACGGCCUACCAAGGCGAUGAUGCAUAGCCGAGUUGAGAGACUGAUCGGCCACAUUGGGACUGAGACACGGCCCAAACUCCUACGGGAGGCAGCAG
rnacentral:rRNA from 1 species